GGCUAACCCAAACUGCACCCCCAAGGACUAAAGCUAUAAGAGCUAAAACUUAACGAUUAUGGCGGCUACUUACAAUCAGGGGAACUUACCAGAUAAUCGAUGAUCCACGAGUGAUUGUUACUUUACUUUAUAGCUUGUAUACCGCCGUUUAGUGGCUGGCUGAGUCUGCUACGAAUCCUUAAUAGAAUACAUCAGGUUAUGGUGCAGCCGAUGGUAAAGAACUAGGCGAGUUACAGUAACCUUUUCUUGCAGAGAAUGUAAUGAAAUGUUAGUUUGAAGAUGGACUUGAUAGUAAAUUAUAAUACAAAUACUAAUUGAACCAAAUAUAAGUAGUGU
rnacentral:rRNA from 3 species